rnacentral:rRNA from 1 species
GCCCCUACGGGAGGCAGCAGUAGAGAAUCUUCGGCAAUGGGGGCAACCCUGACCGAGCAACGCCGCGUGAGUGAAGAAGGUUUUCGGAUCGUAAAGCUCUGUUGUAAGAGAAGAACGUGUGUGAGAGUGGAAAGUUCACACAGUGACGGUAACUUACCAGAAAGGGACGGCUAACUACGUGCCAGCAGCCGCGGUAAUACGUAGGUCCCGAGCGUUAUCCGGAUGUAUUGGGCGUAAAGCGAGCGCAGUCGGUUGGAAA